CCUUAUAACUGUCAAUACAUUGCAGUCAGUGCAGAAGGCUGUAUAACAGUCACUAAACAUAGUAAACAUGCUCGACAACAACAAUAACAAUAUCGAGAAGAAGAACAGCAAAGUUUAUUGGAAGUUGCUGCUAGAAAACAGAGAUUCGUAGAACGCAGAAUGAUAGGUGUUGGCAAGAUCAUGCUCGAAGAUGAAUCCACCAUCUGUGAAGACAUGCUUAAUGCUUUGGAUGUUAGUGGUCUCCAAGCAAAGCCAGCUGCUUUAAAUGAUUACAAUUUCAAGGCACCUAACUGAAGUCCAUUGGCAAUAGACAAUCAAAGAACAGCCAUUCUUGAACUUCUCAAAAAAGAAAAUGUCAUCAUUGUUAAGGGCUUUAACGGUUGUGGUAAAACCACUCAAGUUCCCCAAUUUGUUUUAGAUGAAUGCUACCGAACCAAAACUCCUUGCAACAUUGUUGUGACUCAACCAAGGCGCAUUGCAGCCAUUAGCAUAGCCAAAAGGGUCUGCUAUGAAAGAAAUUGGACAUUGGGAACCGUUGUUGGAUACAGAGUUGGCAUGGAACAUCAAGUAAGUGAAUCAAUUUUGCUCACCUAUCUGACCACAGGAUGCCUUCUUGAAGCAUUAGUAGCCAAAAAAUCCCUUGAAGGCUAUACCCACAUCAUUAUUGACGAAGUACACGAGAGGGAUGAAGAUACUGACUUCCUUCUCUUGGUCGUCCGCAAGUUCCUCCGUCAUACGAGGACGACAACUAAAGUCUUUCUGAUGUCAGUUACUUUUGAUGCCGACAAAUUUGGCCAAUAUUUCAAUAGCCCCGUCAUUGGAAACUUUCCGUUCACGUCCAAAAGACCAUUUCGCAACGGUCCCAUAAUUGAAGUGGAGCACGGUGAACCUCACGACAUACGCGUUUACUAUAGUGAACAUCUUCAAAAACUAGAGUUUCUAGGGGGAGUAUGAACUACCCCUAUGCUAUGCCUAAUGUUUCAGAGUUUUUUUAAGUGGAAUCUAAUCUUAUCAAUCCGUCAAAACCGUGCUCGUUAUUAUUUUAAUUUUGUAACCUCUCCAAGGUAUGAAUCACUCAAUCAAACUCAGUGGCAGUUUCAUCCAAAUGGCGUUAUUUCAAACAACCUCUGUGGCGUACCAGAAACUGAAAAGUCGAUGAAUUUCGUCUCUAGUGAAAAUAGUCGAUUUGCGGGAAUCACAAGCAGGCACAUUACUGUGAAAGAUAACUAUGCUGCUUAUUUUAAGAUCAGAACAUCGUGUGGAAUAACGCCGUGUCAUGCGAACAAUAACAGAAGCCAAGUAAGAUUUCAAAUGAGGCAAGGAUAUGAACAGCCUUCAUGGUCCUUGUCAAAACCCAACUGUUUGCCAAGUUCAACGGAUUCGUUGUGCGAUCCUCAGAUGUAUCAUAGUUCUUCUGCAUUAGCAUUUGGCAACUUCCCGACUUGGCAGCGGGUCAUCAUCUCACUCAAAUCGAUAACAUUCGCCAAGCGAUAAAACGGCUCCCGUGGGUACACUUGAAGGAUGGGCAAAAUUGGAGGUAGGGAAGCCAAAAUUGCUUCAAAAAAAAAGCCCCAACCUUUCGGCUUUCUUAAUAGAGAAGGCUAUGGUUACAGGAGCUGGUCGUGACUUAAAAGAGCCAAGGUUUUGUCCGCAAGUGCUUCAAAUAUACCGUAGAGGCGCCUGGUGGUGGUUUGGAGCAAUAUAACAAAAUAAUUUCGCGCAAGUUUGUUUAAACAUUUGUAUUGAUGCUUACUUUUGACAAUACAUUUUUUUCCAUGAACAAAAGUUCUUGAAAGCUUUUUACUAGUUUUCAUAUGUCUUCUUUCUUUGGCUAGGUAAAAAUUACGAAAGGGUUUUGAUUUCGUAUGAAAUCUUAUGUGGAUAUAUUGCAGUAUUAUAUAUGGUAAUGACUCAUCAUACUUCAUGGAAUGUGAUCUUCCAGAUUUAGCUUGCAAUUCAGCUUUCCCCUUCAUAAUAAAGUUUAUUGGUCCAAUA